rnacentral:lncRNA from 1 species
GAAUGAGAGGAAGGUUGGAUUGAUCCGAAGUAGAAAAUCGUGGGAGGCAAUCGGGAUGAUUGUGGGACAUUAGGAUGCCUGAUUUUCGGAGAAGAUGAACUCUUCCGUGGAUAAAAACGGGGAGGCUGGGGAGCUUGGUCUGUGGACACGACGUGGAAGGAAUCCGUCGCGGGUUGGCUUGAUUUGGUUGGGAGGGAGGCUAUCGCAAAUGAAAAUAAUCCGGAGAAGAUGGGAUCUAGGAUGCAGGGGAUGCGGAUAGAGCUUAUCCGAAACUUUGUUCCGAAGCAAGGGAAUGUGUUUGGAUACCGUGAAGCUCGGGAGGAUGAAGCUGUGGACGUGGAGCAGGGGAGAUGAACUCUGUUUUGAGGCUGGGAUGCUUAAUCUGCAGACACGGGAUGGGUAGCUUGGGACUUUGUUAAUGGCUGGGAUCAGGGGGGUGGUGUUCUCGGCUGAGAGGAGAUGCCGGAAGAAUUGGGAGCUAUGAACGGUGGGGUCAAUCCAGGAGGUUGUGGGAGGAAUUAUGUGGAUGGGAGGAAGCAACGGAUUCGUGAGCUGGGAUGCAAACGCUUGGAACUCAUUUGUGGAUGAUGGAAUCAAUCCAUAACGCUACGGACGCUUGGAAAUGCAGCUGGCCAUGGGAUAAGGAUGAUUACUAACGGGAUGAAGGCUGGGAUUCAUCAUACGUGGAAGCGGUUAUAUUCUUUGGAAAUGGGAGGGAAGGAAUGACGUGGAACCGGGGAGAUAAUGUGUGAGACUUCACAUGUGGAUGGCUUGCACGUGGAAUUUUACGAAAGGGUAGCUGCAU